ensembl:lncRNA
UGGUUGGAGGUGAGGGGGUGAGGUCUCACGGUUGGAGGUGCAGGGUGAGGUCUCAUGGUUGGAGGUGUAGGGUGAGGUCUCAUGGUUGGCAGGGUGAGGUCUCAUGGUUGGAGGUGCAGGGUGAGGUCUCAUGGUUGGCAGGGUGAGGUCUCAUGGUUGGAGGUGCAGGGUGAGGUCUCACGGUUGGAGGUGCAGGGUGAGGUCUCACGGUUGGAGGUGCAGGGUGAGGUCUCAUGGUUGGAGGUGCAGGGUGAGGUCUCAUGGUUGGCAGGGUGAGGUCUCAUGGUUGGAGGUGCAGGGUGAGGUCUCAUGGUUGGAGGUGCAGGGUGAGGUCUCAUGGUUGGAGGUGAGGGGGUGAGGUCUCAUGGUUGGCAGGGUGAGGUCUCAUGGUUGGAGGUGCAGGGUGAGGUCUCAUGGUUGGAGGUGCAGGGUGAGGUCUCAUGGUUGGAGGUGAGGGGGUGAGGUCUCAUGGUUGGCAGGGUGAGGUCUCACGGUUGGCAGGGUGUCUCACGGUUGGAGGUGCAGGGCAGGGUGAGGUCUCGUGGUUGGAGGUGCAGGGUGAGGUCUCAUGGUUGGAGGUGAGGGGGUGAGGUCUCAUGGUUGGAGGUGCAGGGUGAGGUCUCAUGGUUGGAGGUGAGGGGGUGAGGUCUC